rnacentral:lncRNA from 1 species
GAUGUCUUCUCUUGUUUUGAGCUGAUUAAUCGCACCAUGGUCAGAAAUCUACUCGACAGGAAGCUAAAGGGAAAACUGGUCGCAGACCUUUCUCAUCUUGCCCAUUCGUACGUUUCUUCACACCAACCUUCUGCAGCGGACUUAAAGAAAUGUAGGAUACUAAAGGAUUUGAGGAAGAACAAGGACAUUGUAAUACUGAAGCCUGACAAAGGAAAUGGCUUAGUUGUCAUGGACAGGAAAGCCUACGAACAGGGUAUUUUUUCCAUUAUCAGUGACACUUCUAAGUUUAAGGUUAAUGAUAACGAUCCUACAAUACAAAGGGAGGGUAAGUUACAACGUUUUUUAAGAGCGCUUACAUAUCUACUUAUCAGCUACCAUUUUAUGAUGACCAAAAGAAAAACAUUUUUCAAAACAUUGUUUACACAACACCCGACAUCCCAAUUGGCUGGGGAUUGAGGCCUAUGAUUGUCUUUUAAAGGUCAGUAAACUAACCACAAAAUUGCGUGAUUGAAGUAAAUAAAUCUCCUUGCAGACUAAAGAGGAUCUCCAAGAUUAAUUGAACAUUAUUUCACAUUCACAGUAAAAUAAUUGUUCAUCGAAGAUCAUGGAUCACAAUUAUUUGCGAUAAAUUAAAAGGACCCAAUGUGCUUCGCGCAGAAAUUAGUUGUAACCCUCUUCCUAGAGCGUUUCUAAAUAAGUAUUUUUGGCAAGUACCACAGAUCGAUUUUCAUCAAGGAAAUGGUGCUCUUCACGUCGUAUCUCAAUCUUAACGAAACAAUUUUUUACUUCUGCACAAGCAGCUUCUCCGAAAAUGCCCAGCUUGGUGUUUACAAUUACCAUUUGCAUCCGUUCUUCAGCGGAAAAGAACCCUUAGCAUUUACAUGUGGUUCAUCGGCGCCAAAUGCGACAGCAGAGAAUGAGAAUAAUUAACUUUCUGGAUUUUCGUCUAUGAGAUCAGAUGAUGCAAAUAACUUAACAUGAUUGCUGGUGUUUCAGGAUGAUGUUCUACCAAACCACAUGUUCAGGUGUUUCUUGUCUUUCUGAAAAAUAUUAAAGGAGACAUUUUUAAGAUCAGAGGGUCAUGUGACCUGACAUUUCCCACGUUUGCCAGCUGCUGUUUCUACUCAAGGACAUUUUUCCCGUUUGUAGGGAACAC